rnacentral:rRNA from 1 species
GUCGUAACAAGGUUUCCGUAGGUGAACCUGCGGAAGGAUCAUUUAUACGAUGACCAAUUCUCAACCCGAACUUAACUCGUGGACUGGGUAAUUCCGGUCCGGGGGCAGCGUGGCUGUUGUGGCCCGUUGUCAUUAGCACCGACAUUUUUCAACACAAAUCAAGGACCGUUUUCUAUUGGCGCUUCAUAGCGUCUCACAACUCUUAGCGACGGAUGCCUCGGCUCGGAUAACGAUGAAGGACGCAGCAAAAUGCGAUAAGCGCCGUGAAUGGCAGGAUUCCGCGAAUCGAAAGAAUGCUGAACGCACACUGCACUUUCAGACCCAAACUGGAAGUAUGUCUGCUUCAGGGUGAUAUCUCUUUAAAUACUCUCAAAGGUUUCCAUCAGCAGGUGGAGAGCAGCGAGAAGUGUUGCGAUGUGUCAUUGCGAAUCUAUUCCAAUGACACACAACAUGCAGAUUUUCUCGAAAGCCAGCUUCACGCUUGGAGAAAUUUUCAUCUUGCGUUGAGUUGCUCCGAGGAAGUAUUUAAAUCUUUUUUUGAUUCUCACAUGCAGGUAGACAAGACUAUCCGCUGAAUUUAAGCAUAUAAGUAAGCGGAAGAGAAGGAAAUGAAAAUGAUUCCGUUAGUAACGGCGAGUGAACCCGGAGAAGCUUACUGUGAAAAUCCGAAAGCCUCGCUUUCUGAAUUGUAUUCUUUAGUGGCAUUGCCAAUGUGGACUCGGACGUAAUUCUUUUUGGAAUAAAGGAUCAGAGAGGGUGAGAAUCCCGUCUUUCGUUCGAGAGUCUGCGUGUACGGCGUGUCCAUGCAGAGUCGCGUACUUUGGAAGUGGUGCGCAAAAUGGGCGGUAAUCUUCGCCUAAAGCUAAUUAUAGAUCCGAGACCGAUAGCGAACAAGUACCGUGAGGGAAAUGUGAAAAGUACUUUGGAAAGAGAGUUAACAGUGCCUGAAAUCGCUAAGAGGGAAGCGAAUGAUGCCAGUUAAUCGAAGUAUGAUUGCUGGUAAGUUAGGGGACUUUGCUGACGGCACCGCAAGGGUCGAAGGUGGAAGGUAUCCGACACUUACCAGUGUUUCGUGCUACGAAUAGUCAGCGUCAGCCGGGUAAUCGAUGAAGUAAGGUGAUAACUCCGCAUUUUGCUGCGGUGACUUGCGAGUUUUUACCCCAUAGUCUUUUCCCGACUGAGGAGCGCGUGUGUCGUGCCAACGCUCUGUAAUCUGCGCGAAGGCUUGCUCUACUUCUUAAGUGUAGCUUGCUUAGCGUUUAUGAGGGGCGAUCUCGGCAUUCCGUGACGCUGACAAAAUGGUUUUGUCCGACCCGUCUUGAAACACGGACCAAGGAGUCUAGCAACUGCGCAAGUCUGUGGGUGGCAAGCCUAUAGGCGUAAUGAAAGUGAGAGUUUGGAUUUUUUAGUUUUGCACAAACGACCGACCUUGAUUAGAGGUUUGAGUACGAACGUAACUGCUAGGACCCGAAAGAUGGUGAACUAUGCGUGA